CCUACGGGAGGCAGCAGUAGGGAAUAUUGCUCAAUGGGGGAAACCCUGAAGCAGCAACGCCGCGUGGAGGAUGAAGGUUUUCGGAUUGUAAACUCCUUUUGUUAGAGAAGAUAAUGACGGUAUCUAACGAAUAAGCACCGGCUAACUCCGUGCCAGCAGCCGCGGUAAUACGGAGGGUGCAAGCGUUACUCGGAAUCACUGGGCGUAAAGAGCGCGUAGGUGGGAUAGCAAGUCAGAUGUGAAAUCCUAUGGCUUAACCAUAGAACUGCAUUUGAAACUGUUAUUCUAGAGUGUGGGAGAGGUAGGUGGAAUUCUUGGUGUAGGGGUAAAAUCCGUAGAGAUCAAGAGGAAUACUCAUUGCGAAGGCGACCUGCUAGAACAUAACUGACGCUGAUGCGCGAAAGCGUGGGGAGCAAACAGGAUUAGAUACCCCAGUAGUC
rnacentral:rRNA from 1 species